UCUGGACGUCGACGGCGCACGAGUGAUAUCGCGUAUCCAACCUGCCCCUUACUUGGGGAUACCCCGUUGAAAGACGGCCUAAUACCCGAUGUGUUUCAUUGACGGCAUCCGAUAUGAAACAAAGGUUUUCCGGUAAGGGAUGGGGAUGCGUCUGAUUAGCUUGUUGGUGGGGCAACGGCCCACCAAGGCGACGAUCAGUAGGGGUUCUGAGAGGAAGGUCCCCCACAUUGGAACUGAGACACGGUCCAAACUCCUACGGGAGGCAGCAGUGAGGAAUAUUGGUCAAUGGACGCAAGUCUGAACCAGCCAAGUAGCGUGCAGGAUGACGGCCCUAUGGGUUGUAAACUGCUUUUAUGUGGGAAUAAAGUGGCGCACGUGUGCGCCAUUGCAUGUACCUCAUGAAUAAGGACCGGCUAAUUCCGUGCCAGCAGCCGCGGUAAUACGGAAGGUCCGGGCGUUAUCCGGAUUUAUUGGGUUUAAAGGGAGUGUAGGCGGUCUGUUAAGCGUGUUGUGAAAUUUAGGUGCUCAACAUUUAACUUGCAGCGCGAACUGUCAGACUUGAGUACACGCAGCGCAGGCGGAAUUCAUGGUGUAGCGGUGAAAUGCUUAGAUAUCAUGAGGAACUCCG
rnacentral:rRNA from 1 species